CAGGUGGAAAGCUGCACAGCGCCCCCUGUGGAGAGCUCAGGUUCUACAUCUGCUCCACCCAAGACAGCUCCUCUUCUGAAAUCGUCCCCAGCGACAGGAAACCAGGAAUCAUGCACGGUCUGAGUCUGUUUGAUGUUUUGUGGGGCAACAGCUACUUGCUGGCGGAGGAGAUUCAGCACUUGUCCUCCUUCCUCAAUGAGCUCCGGUCCGGUCAGCUGACGCAACGCAAAUCGUUCCUCAAGACCGACAAACUAAAUGCAGCCAAUGUAACAUUAUCAUGUAACGAACAUGGAUUAUUUCAACCUUAAGCUGAUAAAAAAUAUUACUGCAACGUUGCAGAGGGAGUUUACCUAAGUUUCCAGGUUGUUGUGUGAUACUGUCUCCUGGUGUGUUGGACUCACUCGUUAGUUAGAGAAGUGGUUCUCAAAGAGGGUCCUUGAGGGGGUCCCCAGCAAAAAAUCCAUCCAUAAGUAACACAGACAGAACGUGUGACUAUAUUGUUAAUGGAUUUCAUACACUUUCUGAAAUAAAUCAUCUAAAAGUCAGAAUUCUUGACGAA